rnacentral:rRNA from 1 species
CAAGUCGAGGGGAAACGACAUCGAAAGCUUGCUUCCGAUAGGCGUCGACCGGCGCACGGGUGCGUAACGCGUAUGCAACCUACCCAUAACAGGGGGAUAACACUGAGAAAUCGGUACUAAUAUCCCAUAACAUCAAGAGGGGCAUCCCUUUUGGUUGAAAACUCCGGUGGUUAUGGAUGGGCAUGCGUUGUAUUAGGUUGUUGGUGAGGUAACGGCUCACCAAGCCUUCGAUGGAUAGGGGUUCUGAGAGGAAGGUCCCCACAUUGGAACUGAGACACGGUCCAAACUCC